UCUCGGUCGCGGGCGUUGAGGGGCUGGAGUCUGGCGACUGCCCCAUGCCCAGCCGCGGGUCGCUAGACGGCAGGCGGUCCCGUCGUUCUGGACUCGCUUAGUCGGCCCAGCGAGAGGGCGAAGGAGCCGCGGGCGCGUCCCCGCCAACCCCGCUCGCCCGCGCCGAGGCGAGCCACGUGACAGCCCGGGGCCCCGCGCCCCGCGCCCCGCCGCGCCGCCUUACUUGGUGUACUCGCGCAGCCCCUUGGCGAACCACACGACGCUGCGGUACAGGGACAUGCCGGGCACGCCGCACGCCGAGCCCCGCCGCGCUCCGGGCGCGGCCUCCGCCCUGGUCCCACCCCCCGGGAGUCGCCGGCCCUGACAUCAUCCCGGUUAUGUAAGAGCCGCGGCUUCCGGGUCCUUGCUCCACAGGGAAGGCGAGGGGUCUCGGGCCGGCCGGUCGACUCCGCCCAGCCUCAGAGGGUGGAGUGAGGGCGGACCGGCCCCGGUGGGGGCCGCAGUCGAGGUCCGCAGUCCCCUCGGGGUUGAAAUCGGGCAUCGGCGCCGUUUAGAGAACACCGUCCUGCUGGGCAUGACCGGAAUGCGAAGAUGGCCCUGCAACGCACCUCCUAGAAUUUGGUUACCUAGAAAACCAUGUGGAAUAAAACGACGAGGCUUAUGAUAUUUAAAAGACUUCUGCAUCGAAUUGGUGUUAUCAUAAGGGUUAUUUUAAUAACUGGCGUUCUCUAAGUUUCUACACGUGUUGGGGGAUGCAGUACCCUGCCACAUUUCCCGUCUCCAGCAAGCGCAGUCAGAUUGGCGACAUUGCAGGCAAGAGGCAGGGCUGGGGCUCCUACCCGAGAAGUAAUUGUCUCCAAAGUCUGGACUUUUGCCACCCAGCCUGGUGUGACUUCAUGUAGUGCCAGGGAGAGCCCCUUGAUUUCCCCCAAAUCCUCAUCAGCCUCCUUCCACCCAAGCCCAAAUGAACAGUGUAAGAGUGUGGUUGCUGCGUGAACCCAGAUCUCAGACUAGUCAUCCAGCCCCAUUAUGUAGGACUCAGACACCCCUGUCCACAUCUAACCUCCAGCCCUAACGCCACAUUAGAAAUGGGGGUCUUACUGCUGCUGUCACUCCUAGUCACCCUGUUACAUUCUAUACCGGUUUACCCAAGUCGCCCAGAGAAUGGGCCCCACUUACAUAAGCUGAACAGAGACCAGCUGCUUUAAUAGCCUCAUUACCUAGGAUAUAGGAUCACUGUCCAACCUCACCCCACAGUGGGCAAGUUUUUACUUCAGAAUAACUUUUGAAAUAAAUUUCCCCAGAACAGCUCGCCCCUCCAAACAGGACUCUGAGGCUCCACUACGUUGCUGUUAUUCCUGACAGAGUGAUGAAAGGAAAUUUAAACAAGUGGCAUUUUGUAAAACCACCCAGCCUGGUGUGACUUUCAAUGCCUGUCCGAUUUGGCUGGGGAAAUAUUUUAGAUCCCCAGGGCUACAUACUGUUUUUCAUACCCUCCUCUUUGUGUCAGUGAUGGAAAACGUGUCAGUCUGCUCUGAAUCUCUCUGACCACCUCAGGAAAUAGGCUUUUGGCUCACAGAGAGGGGAUGAGAAAUAGUUUUGAACCACCAAGUCUCUUGGAGGGUGUCAGCAGCCCUUUGAAGUAAAAGUGUGGCUGCAAACCCAGCUCUUUUGCAUUAGCCAGGUGAACCUGAGCAUGCUGCAUACGCCCUCAGUCUUGGUUUUUUAAUGUGUAAAAUGGGGAUGAAUAUGCGCACCUCGUGGGGUUGUUGUGAUUAAAGGCAUUCAUUAUAAAGA
rnacentral:antisense_RNA from 1 species